AUUGAACGCUGGCGGCAGGCCUAACACAUGCAAGUCGAGCGGGGUUUUCGGACCUAGCGGCGGACGGGUGAGUAAUGCGUAGGAAGCUGCCCGAUAGAGGGGGAUACCAGUUGGAAACGACUGUUAAUACCGCAUAAUGUCUACGGACCAAAGUGUGGGACCUUCGGGCCACAUGCUAUCGGAUGCGCCUACGUGGGAUUAGCUAGUUGGUGAGGUAAUGGCUCACAAAGGCGACGAUCUCUAGCUGGUUUGAGAGGAUGAUCAGCCACACUGGAACUGAGACACGGUCCAGACUCCUACGGGAGGCAGCAGUGGGGAAUAUUGGACAAUGGGCGCAAGCCUGAUCCAGCCAUGCCGCGUGUGUGAAGAGGGCCUUCGGGUUGUAAAGCACUUUCAGCGAGGAGGAAGGGUGGUGUGUUAAUAGCACAUCAUUUUGACGUUACUCGCAGAAGAAGCACCGGCUAACUCUGUGCCAGCCGCCGCGGUAAAAC
rnacentral:rRNA from 1 species